AAGGAUGAGGCUAAGCGAUAAAGAAUCAGUUUGGUUCAGAGGAAAAAUCCUUGGUAAAGGCAGUAGAGGGUGGGAUGUGGCUUAAGCAGAACUCGUGGCUGGUGGUGUCUGACUUUCUAAAGUGGGGAGAACCCUCUGGUGUCUGACCCGGCCUUCAGUCCUGGCGUGGCCGCGUCUGUCCUUGCAGAUCAAAGGCUUGGAGUGGCUGGUGUCCCUGUACAACAACAACCUGAACGGCAUCCUGGCUGACGAGAUGGGCCUAGGGAAGACCAUCCAGACUAUCGCACUCAUCACGUACCUCAUGGAGCACAAACGCAUCAACGGGCCCUUCCUCAUCAUCGUGCCUCUCUCAACGCUGUCCAACUGGGCGUACGAGUUUGACAAGUGGGCUCCCUCCGUGGUGAAGGUGUCUUACAAGGGAUCCCCAGCAGCAAGACGGGCCUUUGUCCCCCAGCUCCGGAGUGGGAAGUUCAACGUCUUGCUGACAACAUACGAGUACAUCAUCAAAGACAAGCACAUCCUCGCCAAGAUCCGUUGGAAGUACAUGAUUGUGGACGAAGGUCACCGCAUGAAGAACCACCACUGCAAGCUGACGCAGGUGCUCAACACGCACUAUGUGGCACCCCGCCGCCUGCUGCUGACGGGCACACCGCUGCAGAACAAGCUUCCCGAGCUCUGGGCGCUGCUCAACUUCCUGCUGCCCACCAUCUUCAAGAGCUGCAGCACCUUCGAGCAGUGGUUUAACGCACCCUUCGCCAUGACCGGGGAAAAGGUGGACCUGAAUGAGGAGGAAACCAUUCUCAUCAUCCGGCGUCUCCACAAAGUGCUGCGGCCCUUCUUGCUCCGACGACUCAAGAAGGAAGUCGAGGCCCAGUUGCCCGAAAAGGUGGAGUACGUCAUCAAGUGCGACAUGUCUGCGCUGCAGCGAGUGCUCUACCGCCACAUGCAGGCCAAGGGGGUGCUGCUGACUGACGGCUCCGAGAAGGACAAGAAGGGCAAAGGCGGCACCAAGACCCUGAUGAACACCAUCAUGCAGCUGCGGAAGAUCUGCAACCACCCCUACAUGUUCCAGCACAUCGAGGAGUCCUUUUCCGAGCACUUGGGGUUCACUGGCGGCAUUGUCCAAGGGCUGGACCUAUACCGAGCCUCGGGUAAAUUUGAGCUUCUCGAUAGAAUUCUUCCCAAACUCCGAGCAACCAACCACAAAGUGCUGCUGUUCUGCCAGAUGACCUCCCUCAUGACCAUCAUGGAAGAUUACUUUGCAUAUCGCGGCUUUAAAUACCUCAGGCUUGAUGGAACCACGAAGGCGGAGGACCGGGGCAUGCUGCUGAAAACCUUCAACGAGCCCGGCUCCGAGUACUUCAUCUUCCUGCUCAGCACCCGGGCUGGGGGGCUCGGCCUGAACCUCCAGUCGGCAGACACUGUGAUCAUUUUCGACAGCGACUGGAAUCCUCACCAGGACCUGCAAGCGCAGGACCGAGCCCACCGGAUCGGGCAGCAGAACGAGGUGCGUGUGCUCCGCCUCUGCACCGUCAACAGCGUGGAGGAGAAGAUCCUAGCUGCGGCCAAGUACAAGCUCAACGUGGACCAGAAGGUGAUCCAGGCCGGCAUGUUCGACCAGAAGUCCUCCAGCCACGAGCGGCGAGCCUUCCUGCAGGCCAUCCUGGAGCACGAGGAGCAGGACGAGGAGGAAGACGAGGUGCCUGACGACGAGACCGUCAACCAGAUGAUCGCCCGGCAUGAGGAGGAGUUUGAUCUGUUCAUGCGCAUGGACCUGGACCGCAGGCGCGAGGAGGCCCGCAACCCCAAGCGAAAGCCGCGCCUCAUGGAGGAGGACGAGCUCCCCUCAUGGAUCAUCAAGGACGAUGCGGAGGUGGAGCGGCUGACCUGUGAGGAGGAGGAGGAGAAGAUGUUCGGCCGUGGCUCCCGCCACCGCAAGGAGGUGGACUACAGCGACUCACUGACGGAGAAGCAGUGGCUCAAGACCCUGAAGGCCAUCGAGGAGGGCACGCUGGAGGAGAUCGAAGAGGAGGUCCGGCAGAAGAAAUCAUCACGGAAGCGCAAGCGAGACAGCGACGCCGGCUCCUCCACCCCGACCACCAGCACCCGCAGCCGCGACAAGGAUGACGAGAGCAAAAAGCAGAAGAAGCGCGGGCGGCCGCCUGCCGAGAAGCUCUCCCCAAACCCGCCCAACCUCACCAAGAAGAUGAAGAAGAUUGUGGAUGCCGUGAUCAAGUACAAGGACAGCAGCAGUGGACGUCAGCUCAGCGAGGUCUUCAUCCAGCUGCCCUCGCGAAAGGAGCUGCCCGAGUACUACGAGCUCAUCCGCAAGCCCGUGGACUUCAAGAAGAUAAAGGAGCGCAUCCGCAACCACAAGUACCGCAGCCUCAACGACCUAGAGAAGGACGUCAUGCUGCUGUGCCAGAACGCACAGACCUUCAACCUGGAGGGCUCCCUGAUCUAUGAAGACUCCAUCGUCUUGCAGUCGGUCUUCACCAGCGUGCGGCAGAAAAUCGAGAAGGAGGAUGACAGUGAAGGCGAGGAGAGUGAGGAGGAGGAAGAGGGCGAGGAGGAAGGCUCCGAAUCCGAAUCUCGGUCCGUCAAAGUGAAGAUCAAGCUUGGCCGGAAGGAGAAGGCACAGGACCGGCUGAAGGGCGGCCGGCGGCGGCCGAGCCGAGGGUCCCGAGCCAAGCCGGUCGUGAGUGACGACGACAGUGAGGAGGAACAAGAGGAGGACCGCUCAGGAAGUGGCAGCGAAGAAGACUGAGCCCCGACAUUCCAGUCUCGACCCCGAGCCCCUCGUUCCAGAGCCGAGACGGCAUAGGCCUUAGCAGUAACGGGUAGCAGCAGACGUAGUUUCAGACUUGGAGUAAAACUGUAUAAACAAAAGAAUCUUCCGUAUUUAUACAGCAGAGAAGCUGUAGGACUGUUUGUGACUGG
rnacentral:sRNA from 1 species